UGUGUGUUAGUGGAACGGUCUGGAAAGUCCGACGGUACAGGGUGAUAGUCCCGUACACGAAAAUGCACAUGCUGUGAACUCGAAGAGUAGGGCGGGACACGUGGUAUCCUGUCUGAAUAUGGGGGGACCAUCCUCCAAGGCUAAAUACUCCUGACUGACCGAUAGUGAACCAGUACCGUGAGGGAAAGGCGAAAAGAACCCCGGCGAGGGGAGUGAAAAAGAACCUGAAACCGUGUACGUACAAGCAGUGGGAGCCUCUUUAUGGGGUGACUGCGUACCUUUUGUAUAAUGGGUCAGCGACUUAUAUUCUGUAGCAAGGUUAACCGUAUAGGGGAGCCGAAGGGAAACCGAGUCUUAACUGGGCGUUAAGUUGCAGGGUAUAGACCCGAAACCCGGUGAUCUAGCCAUGGGCAGGUUGAAGGUUGGGUAACACUAACUGGAGGACCGAACCGACUAAUGUUGAAAAAUUAGCGGAUGACCUGUGGCUGGGGGUGAAAGGCCAAUCAAACCGGGAGAUAGCUGGUUCUCCCCGAAAGCUAUUUAGGUAGCGCCUCGUGAACUCAUCUUCGGGGGUAGAGCACUGUUUCGGCUAGGGGGCCAUCCCGGCUUACCAACCCGAUGCAAACUACGAAUACCGAAGAAUGUUAUCACGGGAGACACACGGCGGGUGCUAACGUCCGUCGUGAAGAGGGAAACAACCCAGACCGCCAGCUAAGGUCCCAAAGUCAUGGUUAAGUGGGAAACGAUGUGGGAAGGCACAGACAGCCAGGAUGUUGGCUUAGAAGCAGCCAUCAUUUAAAGAAAGCGUAAUAGCUCACUGGUCGAGUCGGCCUGCGCGGAAGAUGUAACGGGGCUAAACCAUGCACCGAAGCUGCGGCAGCGAC
rnacentral:rRNA from 2 species